UUAUUUCCCAGUUUUUCAUCCAUUCCGCCUCCUCUGUGGAUUGGAUUGUGCAACUAGCUUCCUCUAACUGGUUUGAUUAUAAUGUGUCUUUAAAGGGAGGCCUCAGAUCUGUUCUCUCUUCUCUCCCUGAAAUUUGUUUGCUGAUUACUAAACACAGUGAAGCCCCCCAGCAAGCUGUAGAUGGCCUGGAUGCAUCUCUUGGCUGCAGUUUACAUAUUCAGACCAAAUACAGGAUCCUGAAUACAGAAUUGAGAAAAUGUAGUUUUUCCUUGGCCUAUUCAGGCCCAUCUAGCUGUUAAUUUCCACUUCAGACUUCUUCUGUGAUACCGGGGGCACUACCACCAGCAAAUUCUAUUUUUCUUGAAGAGGCUGCAGAACACAAGGUUAUGGAACAUCAGUGGAACUGGUUUCAACUCUAACCUCCACUGGUAUGAACCAACUGUAUGACCUCAGGCUUGAGGGUCCUUUACUCCAGCAGAGGAAAUGGGAGGAAGGAGGAUAUAGCCCUGGAUGUAGAAAGAAUUGGAAGAGCUACCCUAGAAAAUCAACCUCAGUGACAAGGAGAAAAACUAGUUCUAUAGGCAAAAAAGACCUAUUGGAAAAAACCGAAGGUCUGAAGCAGGAGACACAGAAUUCCAUGGCAGGUGGAUUUUUCUUAGCUGUGAGUAACUUCUUAAAUGCUGGUGACAAGGUAGUGAUUUCUAAUGACAGUCAUCCUAGGCAUCAGGAGGCCAUGCAGGACUUGGAGGAAAAUAGACAUUGUGAGGCACCUUGUAAAACUCCACAUUAAGAAGAUGUGAAAAAGUAGUUCACACAACGGCAAUGACCGUCAGCAAAGGAACACAGACUGCUGAUCACCACAAGUAACCCAGAACAUUAAAGCUGAAGCAACAUUGAAAAUGACUUUAUGUUUAGUAAACCAGCCUCUUCCCACUGCUUCACGCAGGCAGAGAAUUUUGGAUUUCAUUCACUGUUCUCCUGUACCCAAGAGAGUGGUCAAUCAUAGCAGAAACUCAAUAAGUACUUGUUAAAUGUAAAAGAUGACACCUCACUGUCUUGUUCGUGAGAAAGACUUAAUAAUUCAAGCACUGCGGAUGGCAUACUAAAUUGGUUUAACACUUUGGGAAAAAAAACAAAUUAGGGGUGUUUCACUUUACAUGCACGUGUUCAAGUCUUUUGAACCCAUCAGUGUGCCCUUGGGGAUUUAUUCCAAGAAAAUGAUUGAACAUCAAAACAAACCUAAAUGUGUGAACUUCUAUAAUACUAGCACAGAGUCAAAAGCAGAAAGGAGGUUAAUAAACUACAUAUAUCCUAUCAAUAAAGUAUUACUGAUCCACUUAAAAUAAUAAAUAAUACCAUAGAAAUGUAGAGAUUUUAUAAUGUUAAAUGAAUAAAAUGUAAUGCCCCAGGCCCUUUAUUGAGGCACAUCUUCCUGCUGCUUUGAAUUCCGCUGCUCUGGGGCAGACCCCGCAGACACCCUAGGAAGCUUCCAGUGUCCACUCGAGGCUGCUGACACUAGGUGUGCUUCCUGCUAGUGCCCUGAAAUCCCACCAUGUCAGCUCCCAACUUAGUGCCAAGUCUCCUACACUGGUCCCCGAACUGUGCAACCUUCUCUUCUCUGCUGGGUCAGAAGACAUUAAGGAGUAAGGAUGCUAUGUUUAUCUUUUUGUCCUUAUGCCAUGCUCCAAAUCAUCGCAUCCCUCCCAACACUGUUUGACCAGAAGUAUGUAUGUGUCCAACCCUAACUUGGCUAAGAUUUCCUUAGACCUUGCAGUUCUUCCUGCGAACUGACCUCUCAGCGGGUCUGACUCUACACAUGCCCCAUUGUGUCUGAAUCCUACAAAACUACUUAGGAGCAGAGUAGGACCACUGAUAUGGAAGUAUUUUUAUUAAGUAAUUAGACAUCAUUUUUAU